UUGAAUGCAGAAAACCCAAAGUGGCUAUGAUAUGAAUUCGUUCUCAAAAUUGCCGCUGCUUAUUGCUCACUUAAAAGUAUUUCAAUGUAAUUUGAAUUUUGCAAUUCAAUGUAAUCAAUUGCAGGUGUGUACUGCUGCUGUAAAUGCAACUUUUCUCGCCUUGAUCUAACCAAAUACAUAAUAUUAAUGAUCUAAAUUUUUAAAUCUUUGAUUGGAUCCACUCAACUACUUUAGCCUAAUGAUAAUGGUAUUUGAAACUUUGAUUGUCUUUUAUGCUAGCUUAACUUAUUUAUAUUAUUUAGUUAAUUGAAUCAAUGUUAUAGUAGAUUAGGUUAUUGAUUCAAUUUCAAUAUGUUUAAAUAUUAAUAAAUAAAGUUAAUUAGGUUAUUUUUUCAAAUUGGAACUGAAGACUUGCUCUACUUCUGAUAAUUUUAGUUUCUUUGAUUGGGCAGCAAAAGUUUGCUAUAACGAUUAGUGUCCAUUAGUUCAUCAAUAUCUUGCUAUUGGUGAUGUUUGGUGAUUCAGUUCUUUUUUAUAGAUUUUGGUCUAGCUAUAUAGUGCACUCAAUAGAUAAAUGCUCUUUUGAACUGUUGUGAGCGGGUCUAUUAGCAAGAUUUUGUUGUAUUUUCAAUUGAAACCGAUGAUGAGACAUUGUAUGCAAAGCAUCUAAUACCACUGCCUGGAGACUUGUCUUUUAGCAGGACUUGACCCCUAAUCAACUUCAGAAGGGUUGAACUAUUUCACUUUUGCCUCCCAUUAUUCUUUUCCAUAGAAUUUGUGAUAAUUCAACACCAUCUGUUUCCAGGUGAGAAGUUGGUGUCUUUGUUUAUAGUAUGGAUGGCAUAUAUAGCUUCUGAAAUGAUGAUAUAGUAAAUUGGCUUGAUUGAUGCUUCAUUUUGCGCUACUUUCAGUUGUUAAUAUGCUGUAGUCAAGCUUUUGUAGGUGCUCUUCCAAGAACUGGAGUUGAGGUUAAGCUGAUUAGACUUGUUUCUAUAAAUAUGUGCUUCACUAUGCUGACAAAGAUUCCUCUAUUUUUUUAUAAGUAGAAGCUUUUUUUUGAUGAAUAUAAGUAGAAACUUAAACGUUUGAAUUGAUGAUAACUGGAAUAGCUAUCUUAUUUUGAAAUUAUAAAAGCAUACAAGUUGUAUUCUACAAAGGUUAUAUUAAUGAUGAUGCACGCAUAUGCACAAACAUGUCACAUGUUUUUUUUAUCUUCAAGUGCAAUCUGUUACUUAACUUUUGUUCUUAACUUAUGUGGUUUAGGUGGAAGGAGUGAAUGGUUUGGUUUCUGAGCUUGAUACUCUUUUGGCUUCAACAGCUGCUUUGCAGGUCAUAAGAUUGAAAGCCUCUCUGUCCAUCUCUCUUGCUCAGCUACAAUUUUCUUUGGAGAUACCAAUCCUACUGACGGUAAUCAACUUUCCACUUUCUUUGAUUAUUAGGAGCUUUUUUUCUUUCCAUUGGGAUGCGUGCGUGUUAAUUAGCUACUUAGUAGUGUUAUUAUUAUCUCUCGGAGCUUAGAAUCUUAUCACCUUCAUUGGUGUGAUUGAAUUAGUAGCUGCAGUUAAUAUCUUAUAUACUUCACUGGGAUCUCCUGGGUGGGUUGCUACUGUGGGGAAUCCAUGUGCCGAACUGGUAAGGUGUUGCAUGUGAACUUUCAAACAUAACAUCCAUGUAUGGAAUUGUUCUUGACUUUUAACCCUAAGUUACAAUUUUCAUUCUUUACCUUCAUAAAUUUAGCCUCGCUUUUGAUUUUACAGAAUUCUAAAUGGUCUAAUUUGGAUAGAGAACUUGGUAAUAUCUUGGGCAUUUUCACUUCUAUCAGAUCAAUGAUCUUGAGAAGUCUGCCUCCUUUAUGAGGUGAUCUCGGUGUCAUCUCUACUGCUGCAACUAGAUAUGCUCCUUGCUUGCUGAAAUCUUUUCUUCAUAUAGGACCUCAAGGAGCUGUAGGUGCUACAAAGCUUUUUAGGCCUUUCUCAGAAAUCGCCGGUUCACUAGAGCUAAAAGACCCUCUCGUGCGCAACUGGAUCGAUCUUUUUCCAUUCCUUCUCGCGGGAGUAAAAUUUAAUGGUUAUUACUUUGUUAGUUAUCAGAUAUUGGUUAUUACUUUCAGAUGCAAGAGAUUAAAAAUUGCUUUGUUAGAAUUCAGUUUGCAAUAAAUGAAAAUGUUUGUUAA